GUAAUACGAAGGAGGCUAGCGUUGCUCGGAAUCACUGGGCGUAAAGCGCACGUAGGCGGCUUUCUAAGUCAGGGGUGAAAUCCCGGGGCUCAACCCCGGAACUGCCUUUGAUACUGGAGAGCUUGAGUUCGGGAGAGGUGAGUGGAACCGCGAGUGUAGAGGUGAAAUUCGUAGAUAUUCGCAAGAACACCAGUGGCGAAGGCGGCUCACUGGCCCGAUACCGACGCUGAGGUGCGAAAGCGUGGGGAGCAAACA
rnacentral:rRNA from 1 species